CCAGUAACGGCGAGUGAAGCGGGAAGAGCUCAAGCUUAAAAUCUCCAUACUUGUAUGGCGAAUUGUAGUCUAUUGAGGCUGUUGUCAGCAUCGCGAUUGGGGACAAGUCCCUUGGAAAAGGGCAGCAUGGAGGGUGAUACUCCCGUCUCUGCUCCAAUUUGCGGUGUGUACGAUACGCUUUCUUUGAGUCGAGUUGUUUGGGAAUACAGCUCAAAGUAGGUGGUAAAUUCCAUCUAAAGCUAAAUAUUGGUGCAAGACCGAUAGCGAACAAGUACCGUGAGGGAAAGAUGAAAAGAACUUUGAAAAGAGAGUUAAAGAGUACCUGAAACUGUUGAAAGGGAACCGUAUCGCUUCCAGUGUUUUAUCUCGUGCAUAUUUCAUUCGCGGAGCAAUUUGCGGGUGCCCUGUGCAUGGGUGUGACGUCAGGGUCAGUUUGUAUGCUGCGGGAGAUGGUCAGUGAGGAGGUGCGUCACUUCGGUGAAAGUUAUAUCUCGCUGUCUAGUAGCCGUGGUUGAGACUGAGGUGCCUACAACAUGCCUUAAAGUUCCGCGUUGUCUCGUGUUGGUGACUGCUUUGAUAGCUUGCUAUGUCUGUGGUUCAUCAAUGCGAUCGGUGGUGUGGAUAACUUUUGCUGUUCGGGACUCUGGCGAAAUGGAGCGAUACGACCCGUCUUGAAACACGGACCAAGGAGUCUAACAUGUGUGCAAGUAUUAGGGCGUGGAAACCCAAAUGCGUAAUGAAAGUAAAUGCUGCUUAUGCAGCUUUGGUAGGAAAGGGCUGUCAAGGUCCUGGCACUAUCGACCGAUCAU
rnacentral:rRNA from 1 species